AUUGAACGCUGGCGGCAUGCUUUACACAUGCAAGUCGAACGGUAACAGGCCUUCGGGUGCUGACGAGUGGCGAACGGGUGAGUAAUGCAUCGGAACGUGCCCAGAGGUGGGGGAUAACGCAGCGAAAGCUGUGCUAAUACCGCAUGUGAUCUGAGGAUGAAAGCGGGGGACCAGGCAGCAAUGUUUGGCCUCGCGCCUUUGGAGCGGCCGAUGUCAGAUUAGGUAGUUGGUGGGGUAAAGGCCUACCAAGCCGACGAUCUGUAGCUGGUCUGAGAGGACGACCAGCCACACUGGGACUGAGACACGGCCCAGACUCCUACGGGAGGCAGCAGUGGGGAAUUUUGGACAAUGGGCGCAAGCCUGAUCAAGCAAUGCCGCGUGCGGGAAGAAGGCCUUCGGGUUGUAAACCGCUUUUGUACGGAACGAAAAGGCUCUGGCUAAUACCUGGGGCUGAUGACGGUACCGUAAGAAUAAGCACCGGCUAACUACGUG
rnacentral:rRNA from 1 species